UAUGCUAUAAAAAGGUAAAUUAAAUCUCAAAUAACAUAAGUCGAGGCCCAACCAAUUGUAGCUUUCUUUCUUUCAGAAUAGAAUGUCUGAUCCCCUUUACUCCUCACUUCUCUCUCUUCUUCCUUAUGAAAAUAUCAAAGGAAAUUCCUCAGUAUGUGAUCAUAUAGAAGUGGCAGAAAUCUACAUCAAAGAUUUGGAGAAAAGUAUUAAGGAGCUUCAAGAUAAGAGAGAAAAGCUACACAAUUCUUUAUCUGAAACACCAAAUAUUAUUGGACGACAAUCGUCAAUUAGUAGUGUUAAUCCUUCCAUUAAUGAUAAUUAUGUAAAGAUCAAGGCGUUUUCUAAAGAAUUAGAGAUCGAAAUUAACGCCAUGGUUGAAGAGGAUGGUGUAUUUCCUUUAUCUAAGGUGCUCAAAGUAGUACAACUUGAAGAAGGUCUUACAAUUGUUAAUUGUGCAUACUCCAAAGUUAACCAAAGAUGGGUGCAUGUCAUCCGUUGUCAGGUUGGUGACGGGAAGUUGGUUGAUUCCUCUCAAUUGCAAUGCAGAUUGACAAAUGAAAUUUUAUCAUCUGCUCCAUGAUAGUGUCACAAUAUAAGUUCUGGAAUCUGCAGACAUCUCAAGCUACUGAAAUAGGUAACCAACUCUUCACCAUUGCUCGAUGAAGGAAUCUUGGUUAUGCGAAAAAAAGCCAAUGAAGAAGGGUUGAAAGAUAUGUGCAAAUGCCACUUGAAUGUGUCACAUACAACAGACCAGUGCCAAGUGUUCAGAGGAUUCCUGACUAGGCAAUUGAAUCUUAAAAGAUUAGUUGUCUCGGACAUGGAACAACACGCCAUGAAGCUAGAAGAAUAUAAGGCUAAUAUAGCUAAAGCUAAGGUGUCUGCUAAGUCCAGUCCAACACCAAACCCAGUAAUGCAUGAGGAAAGAGAUAAAACCUAUAAGCAAGCAGUACAAAAAUUCCCAUUGGAGACUUGGGCUAUAGAAGGUUGAAGGCUCUAAGUAAUGAAAUGUGCUCACUAUGUGCAAACAGGGUAACCUUCGAAAUGGUUAGAACUCAGAUCAUUCAAAAUGACCCCACUUAUGUCCCUGCUUAUCAACGUCCAUUUUGAGUGAAGUCAAGGACCAAGAAAGUAUGAUAGCUUUAGUUUAGGCUCUUCCUCAAAAGGAAAAGAAAGGGAGCCAAGUCAUACUCAUGUUCUUAAAGUUCUUAAAAGAAGGGUGAAGUCUCAUAGGGACCAAGCGGAGAUAAAAAUCAAACCCGCAGUUAAUCCAUUGCCCCUACAAGAUUUCCAAAACUUACCUAAGAGUAGGACAUCAAAGAGGAGAGAACUACGUGCAAAAGCUGUUGCAACAAGAGCUCAAAUUAGUAAUCAAAAUAUCUAGGAGUUUAUCAUUGCAAAUGUAAGAAUUGAUGAAGAUGCCGUACAAGUUGGCAUCACUAAAUUGUUACAUGUGGAGGAAGAACAAUGUGGUGAAUCAUCUACAAGGAAUGAUGAUCAACAGCCUCAAGGAGGUGAUUUUCUUAUGAAAGAAUUACCAGGAAAUGGCUUUAAUAAGGAAUAUGGUUCAGAGUUUGGGUAUGAAGAUUUAGACUUACUGGUGUUAGACGGUGACUUGAUGUUGGAUGGGGACCAACUGAUGAAUGAGCCUCAAGCAGAAACAGGAGAGAGACAGAACAUGCAAUGUAAUGUGAUCAUGCUACCAACAGAGUUUAAAAAGUCAGAAGGUCAAUCUGAAUUCCAGACCAACACCACAUCAUGGGCAGAUGAAGUUGACAAAGAAGAUAGGGCAGGGACUCUUUAAAGUCAAUUCUUACUAUCAAAAUUGAGGUUGCUCUAAGUUACAAACUCACCAAGAGAUGGAAGAAUCAGGUGCAAUCCUUAUUGAAUAAGUCGAGGAUGUCCAAGAAGUUGAAGACAUUCAAUCAAAAUAUGAAUAUGCUCAACAGGCGCCAGACUAUGAUCAAUCCUUAACUCUCAUUAGUUUAUAGAGUUAGGAUGUAUUUUUCUUAUAUACGUUUAUUAUGUUUAUAAACAAAGAAGAAUGUUGUAAGGGGUUUACCCCUAUUGUUGAUCAAGUAAUGAAUAAAGAUUUGGUUUUUAGAAAAUA